CCACUCCCUCCCACACAGAAGCCCUGAGAGCACAGCCCCUCAGCAUGGACUGGAGCUGGAGCAUCCUCUUCUUGGUGGCAGUGGCUGCAGGUGUCUCCUCCGAGCUCCAGCUGGUGCAGUCUGGGGAUGAGGUGAGGAAGCCAGGGGAAUCCGUGAAGGUCUCCUGCAAGGCUUCUGGAGACAGCUUCACUUAUUACUCUAUGAGCUGGGUGCGACAGGCCCCUGGACAAGGGCUCGAGUGGAUGGGAGGGAUCUCUUCUGUAGUUGAUGAUGCAAGCUACGCGCAGAAGUUCCAGGGCAGAGUCACCAUGACUGCAGACAAGUCCACGAGCACAGUCUACAUGGAGCUGAGCAGUCUGACAUCCGAGGACACGGCCGUGUAUUACUGU